rnacentral:rRNA from 1 species
GACGAACGCUGGCGGCGUGCCUAACACAUGCAAGUCGUACGGGACCGGGGGCAACUCCGGUUCAGUGGCAGACGGGUGCGUAACACGUGAGGAACCUGUCCGGUGGCGGGGGAUAGCCGGCCCAACGGCCGGGUAAUACCGCAUACGCUCGUUCGGGGGCAUCCCUGGGCGAGGAAAGCAGCCGCAAGGUUGCGCCGACGGAGGGCCUCGCGACCUAUCAGCUUGUUGGCGGGGUAACGGCCCACCAAGGCGACGACGGGUAGCUGGUCUGAGAGGAUGAUCAGCCACAUUGGGACUGAGACACGGCCCAGACUCCUACGGGAGGCAGCAGUGGGGAAUAUUGCGCAAUGGCCGCAAGGCUGACGCAGCGACGCCGCGUGUGGGAUGACGGUCUU